UCAUUUCCUGCCAAUGACAAGUACUCCAACCAGAACAAGUUUCCAUAACUUGCUGGGAUUCUCCCGAAGAAGAAGUUUCCUCCCAAUUCCAUGUGCCUGAGUUUCUUCAGACUCAACACGCCAAUGGGAAGAGAGCUCAGGUUCUCGAUCAUGAUGUCACCAGUGAAGUUGUUCCCAUCAAUGGAAAGCUCCACCAGUUUGUCGAGCCUUGAAAUUUGAGGUGAAAUGGUGCCAUACAGAUUCAUGCUUGAUAUGUUGAGGGAGACUACUCGGCCACGGAAGCAUCUGAUUCCACUCCACGAGCAGACUGAGGCCGGGCCUUUGGAAGAAUUCCAUGUGUCUGUAGCUGGGUUUGAGUAUUGGAAUCCUUCUUUCAGAGCCAUCAAUGCAUGGAAAUCUGAAAGGAUGGUGGAAGAAACACAAGUGAUAGUGAAGAAGAAGAAGAGUACUGUCGUUGCUGAAAUAAUGAAGGGAACCAUAUUCUAGUAGAAACUUUUCAUGGGAAGCAAUGACUUUGGAAUGGCUUGAAGAAUGAAUACUCUGAUGAUUUUAAGAGGGACAACGACGAAUUCUCCUGUAAAAGGGAGUAAAAGCAGAGAUGAACUGAAGAAGUAAUUCAAGUUUGUAUAGGAGGGUUAAAGCACCAAUCAUCUUGUAGAAAGCUAAACAUAAUUAGACUUCAAGGAAGAAGAGGUUAUCAGGAUCUUAAGCAAAGUAGCAGAUACAAAGAAAGGAAGUUUUACAAGGGCGGGAGGACACACUAUAAACAGCACUUUUUUGUGGAUAAAAAAGCAUCCGUUGGAUUGCUAAAUUUGAAGUUGAGAAUGUGCACAACACUGGGGAAAAAAAUAGGAAAAUCAUUGGACCUUCCUAGUGAAUGGGUUGUUGCUUGGCUAAGAACCCUUAUCAAAAAAGAUUCUUGGAAAGUGAAGAGAGAGAUUAUACUAUCACAGAAAGAUGCAAGUAUAUACACACAUAAAUAAGGUACGAAAUCCCUCAAUCUCAGUGCUGCAUGCCUGCAUAAGAUACCUACGUGCAUCAAUAAUAAUAAUAAUAAUAAUAAUAAUAACGUGGAAGAAUCUAGUAUUUAAGGACACAAAAUGCUGUACUUUGAUGCACAAAUACACCAUCAAAGUUCAGAACCAAAGAAAGAAAAAGUAAAGAGACAUCAGAGAGGUGCCAGUAAAAGAAGAUGAUUAUUAUUAAAUGAUGACAUUGUUUUUUGUUUCUCUGGUCAAGAGUGAUGAUCGAUAUAUAAUUAUGUAGCAUGGAUAGGUUGCAUGGAAGAAUCAACCACUGAAGCUUUUUUCUUUCUUGCUUGCUUGCUUGCUGCUUUAUUCAUCAUUGAUUGAUUUAUUUAUAUAUUAGAGUCUCUCUCUCUCUCUCUCUCUCUCUCUCUCUCUCUCUCUCUCUCUCUCUCUCUCUCUCUCUCUCUCUCUCUCUCUCCUGCCUGGCUUGUCCUGCAGUAAUGGGACCAAAUACUCACAUAUAGUUAUAGUAUUGUGAUACUUGAGCUUUAUUAGAAUAUGGAAUAGUCAGUCCUAAAGAGAGUGCUGAAAAAAGCAAAAGUAGAAAUGAAUGAGGGAGGGAGGGAGGUGGAUUUGCUUUUGAUCUUCCACUAGAGAAAGAAAACAAAGGAAAAGACACAGAAAUCCACUAGCUUUCUUUCACAUGGAAAAGAGUGCUCUUGUUUUUAACUUAAAUAUCCAAGAAAGAUUAGUCAUUCUUAUUUUUUAUUGAAAACAAGAUAAUUUUAUGACCAUCCUAUGCGUGGAAAACUGUGCACUCUCUUUUCUAUUAAGAAUAGUCAUUUCCACCCAACCACUAGGGCUGGAAUGGGCUCUGUCGGGUCGGGUUGAAUUGUUAAACAGGUUCAGUUGGGUCAAUUCAAAAUCGAUCUCUUUAUUUAAAUGGGUA